UACAGAGGUCUCAAGCGUUGUUCGGAUUCAUUGGGCGUAAAGGGUGCGUAGGUGGCGCGGUAAGUCGGGUGUGAAAUCUCGGAGCUUAACUCCGAAAUUGCAUUCGAUACUCCCGUGCUUGAGGACUGGAGAGGAGACUGGAAUUCAUGGUGUAGCAGUGAAAUGCGUAGAGAUCAUGAGGAAGACCAGUGGCGAAGGCGGGUCUCUGGACAGUUCCUGACGCUGAGGCACGAAGGUCAGGGGAGCAAACGGG
rnacentral:rRNA from 1 species